rnacentral:lncRNA from 1 species
CAUCCCCACUCGUCAUCUCCCCCUGCUUUCUUACUCUCUGUGUGUAUUUCUUUCUUUCUUGCGAGGCUUCCCAUGACAGUGUUGAACGCCAGGGGCCAGGGGCUUUGUUUUGUUCAUGGAUGUAUCCAUGUACCAAAACAGGGUCCCUCCGUAGUGAUGCUUCAGUGAGUGAAAAAAUGGGUUGUCAUCUGUGAAAUUAGUUUUAAAGGAGGAAUUCCAAAAUGGUCCUAAACAACAAGUAGAAGAUGGGAGCUCAGACUCAAAUUCAUCUCCCUAACCCACUAAAACUAGGGGUUUAUAUAGCAGGGAAGAAAUGUAACAACGUGUAAGAAAACAAGAACUAGGGAGGGGCAAGGAGUCAUCUGGUCUGGUGAUCAGCUGAGUUUUGGUUCUUUGAUACUUUUUUUGAAAGGCCUGAAGGUCCUUUUCUGGGGAAGAAACUCAAAACAGAUGCAAGUUUCAAG